CUUAAUUGUUUUUAAACAAAAAUCUAGUAUACUGGGUGUGUAUGAGCAAUCGCAGUUACUGAGAUGAAAACACUAAACAAACAUGUUUUUGUUUUGUUUUGUUUUUUAUUAUUGGAUUGUGCAGGCCAGUUAUGGGAUACUCCCUAAAAUUGCUUACCAAAGGCAUUUCGGGAUUGCAUAUUUGGUGCUAAACAGUGCAAGAUGUGUCAGGAAGUAAAUGUGCAUUUUUUUUGUUAUAGUCCUACCACAUCUGUUACUAAGGUGACAUUUUUUUGGUAGGGGGUGGAAAGGAGGAGGGGACUUUUCUUUGACAUUUCUUGGUCACAAUUACUGUUUCCGCAGACUACGUUAGCUGCAGAUAUGUCAGGUCACAAAUAGUCGUGUAACCAGUUAUAUGACUAUCUCAUCUUUCUAAACAAGUGAUGUUUUUUGGGUGUGUGGGCUUUUCUGAGAAAUUUUAGGUG